rnacentral:rRNA from 1 species
GACAGAGGAGCCAAGCGUUGUCCGGAUUGACUGGGCGUAAAGCGCACGCAGGCGGAUGCGCGCGUGGGGUGUGAAAUCUGGCCGCUUAACGGCCAGGCGCCAUCCCAUACGGCGCGUCUGGAGUGAUGCAGAGGUCGAUGGAAUUGCCGGUGUAGUGGUGAAAUGCGUAGAGAUCGGCAGGAACACCCAGGGGGAAACCAGCCGACUGGGCAUAGGCUGACGCUGAGGUGCGAGAGCGUGGGGAGCGAACCGG